AUUGAACGCUAGCGGAAUGCUUUACACAUGCAAGUCGAACGGCAGCACGGACUUCGGUCUGGUGGCGAGUGGCGAACGGGUGAGUAAUACAUCGGAACGUGCCCAGUCGUGGGGGAUAACGUAGCGAAAGCUACGCUAAUACCGCAUACGAUCUAAGGAUGAAAGCGGGGGAUCGCAAGACCUCGCGCGAUUGGAGCGGCCGAUGGCAGAUUAGGUAGUUGGUAGGGUAAAGGCCUACCAAGCCGACGAUCUGUAGCUGGUCUGAGAGGAUGAUCAGCCACACUGGGACUGAGACACGGCCCAGACUCCGACGGGAGGCAGCAGUGGGGAAUUUUGGACAAUGGGCGCAAGCCUGAUCCAGCCAUUCCGCGUGCAGGAUGAAGGCCUUCGGGUUGUAAACUGCUUUUGUACAGAACGAAAAGGCUCUGGUUAAUACCCGGGGCUCAUGACGGUACUGUAAGAAUAAGCACCGGCUAACUACGUGCCAGCCGCCGCCGUAA
rnacentral:rRNA from 1 species